GAGUUUGAUCAUGGCUCAGAUUGAACGCUGGCGGCAGGCUUAACACAUGCAAGUCGAGCGGAGUGAUGGUGCUUGCACUAUCACUUAGCGGCGGACGGGUGAGUAAUGCUUAGGAAUCUGCCAUUUAGUGGGGGACAACAUUCCGAAAGGAAUGCUAAUACCGCAUACGUCCUACGGGAGAAAGCAGGGGAUCUUCGGACCUUGCGCUAAAUGAUGAGCCUAAGUCGGAUUAGCUAGUUGGUGGGGUAAAGGCCUACCAAGGCGACGAUCUGUAGCGGGUCUGAGAGGAUGAUCCGCCACACUGGGACUGAGACACGGCCCAGACUCCUACGGGAGGCAGCAGUGGGGAAUAUUGGACAAUGGGCGGAAGCCUGAUCCAGCCAUGCCGCGUGUGUGAAGAAGGCCUUUUGGUUGUAAAGCACUUUAAGCGAGGAGGAGGCUACUAGUACUAAUACUACUGGAUAGUGGACGUUACUCGCAGAAUAAGCACCGGCUAACUCUGUGCCAGCAGCCGCGGUAAUACAGAGGGUGCGAGCGUUAAUCGGAUUUACUGGGCGUAAAGCGUGCGUAGGCGGCUUUUUAAGUCGGAUGUGAAAUCCCCGAGCUUAACUGGGAAUUGCAUUCGAUACUGGGAAGCUAGAGUAUGGGAGAGGAUGGUAGAAUUCCAGGUGUAGCGGUGAAAUGCGUAGAGAUCUGGAGGAAUACCGAUGGCGAAGGCAGCCAUCUGGCCUAAUACUGACGCUGAGGUACGAAAGCAUGGGGAGCAAACAGGAUUAGAUACCCUGGUAGUCCAUGCCGUAAACGAUGUCUACUAGCCGUUGGGGCCUUUGAGGCUUUAGUGGCGCAGCUAACGCGAUAAGUAGACCGCCUGGGGAGUACGGUCGCAAGACUAAAACUCAAAUGAAUUGACGGGGGCCCGCACAAGCGGUGGAGCAUGUGGUUUAAUUCGAUGCAACGCGAAGAACCUUACCUGGUCCUGACAUAGUAAGAACUUUCCAGAGAUGGAUUGGUGCCUUCGGGAACUUACAUACAGGUGCUGCAUGGCUGUCGUCAGCUCGUGUCGUGAGAUGUUGGGUUAAGUCCCGCAACGAGCGCAACCCUUUUCCUUAUUUGCCAGCGGGUUAAGCCGGGAACUUUAAGGAUACUGCCAGUGACAAACUGGAGGAAGGCGGGGACGACGUCAAGUCAUCAUGGCCCUUACGACCAGGGCUACACACGUGCUACAAUGGUCGGUACAAAGGGUUGCUACCUAGCGAUAGGAUGCUAAUCUCAAAAAGCCGAUCGUAGUCCGGAUUGGAGUCUGCAACUCGACUCCAUGAAGUCGGAAUCGCUAGUAACCGCGGAUCAGAAUGCCGCGGUGAAUACGUUCCCGGGCCUUGUACACACCGCCCGUCACACCAUGGGAGUUUGUUGCACCAGAAGUAGGUAGUCUAACCGUAAGGAGGACGCUUACCACGGUGUGGCCGAUGACUGGGGUGAAGUCGUAACAAGG
rnacentral:rRNA from 1 species